rnacentral:lncRNA from 1 species
AUAUAAUUAUGUGUAUUAUUGUGUAUAUUAAUUAAUACGAAUUGUUCUAGAAAUAAUGCGAAUAAUGUUCAAGAAAUCCUUUUAUUUAAAAAACAUGCAAUUAGGCUUUAUCGCUUUUAAAGUAAAUCCCCUUAAGGUAUUAUGUACCCUCCAGUUGUGCUCAAAGACGGCCCGCAGAAAAGAAUAGAAUGUUAAAGUAAACAAAAGAUGAUACACCUUUGAACAUCACUACAACGCGUGGCGCUUCUUGUUCGUAUGCACACACAUAACAUACAAUCUCACAACAGAGUGAACGAAGAUCUGGCAACGUCGCAUUGCACGAGAGCAGCGAGAUAAAUAAAGUGGAAGUGAAACUCACGCAAAUACCAUAUAUAUAUAAUAAGACUAUAUUGCUAGUUGAACUGAAAAGAGGAUGAAAACAUUACGGUGCUACUUGGUGUACCGUGACAGUUUUGCGCACGCGCAAAAGUCGCUCCCGCUACCGCGCAUCCCUACUACCACGUGCCACACUUGCAUACAACGAUUUUCGCAGGUACACGAUUUUCACUAUGUCUGUCUCUCUUUGAUUUCACCCACUUCUAUGAGAUAAGCCUAGCUUUAUACGCUAGCAAUAUAUGAGUAUUAUAUAUAUGGGACAUACUCGUUUUAUCUUCUCUCUCCCAUUUUCGUUUAUGCGGCGCAACAUUGCCGCUAUGUUGUGAGCGAGUCACUCUCUACUCGGGAUCAAAAUAACGAACUUUUGAUUAGAUUUAUGUAGAAACGGCACGGGCAAUCAUCGUAAACUUUGUUUUAAUUUAAUAGAAAUAAUAUGUUCUAACAAAUGUUAGUUUGUAAAGAAUAUUUAUUGUUAGAAUUUUUGCCUACAAGCCAUAACAUUCGAUUUUUUUUACAUUUGGUCUAUCUUUCCUAUGUUAAAGACUCACCUUUGAGGCUUCAUAGCUCAAGUUCGGCACGGUAAAUUGUUUUAAAAUUUUAACCAGUUAUGCGAAACAGUUUGAUUUACCUGUAUAAUAAAUUUUUUCCAAAAUUUAUUGAAAAUUGAUUUUGAUACAUAAUACCUUAAACUCAACUCAACUUAACCUUAAACGUUCAAAGACAUGCAAUUUUUUGUUCAUUUUUGAGCUUCAUAUUCAAUAGGGAAAAUGAGAAAUGUUUUGACCAAAACCAUGUAUCUUACCAUUUUUUGGUAUGCUCUUUUGAUUUCCGAGGUUAAAAUUGCAUCUUUGUGCACUCAGAAACCAAUAUGGCGGAUUUUAAGUAGAAAGUACAGAAAAAUUGGAAAUUUUUUUUCCAAUAUUUUUUUCAAUAUUUUUUUCAAAUGGAAGAAGUAUUAGGAUCCAUUUCUAACCGCGUCCAAAGGUGAAUAAAGGUGUAAAAUAGUUGAAGUUUAACUAGAAAUUUUUUUUUUAUUCCAAUUUACUGUAACUUUUAAAAUAACAGAAAUUGCAAGAAAUUUAGUGAAAUAUAGGUUUUUUCUUAAUAAUUUUGUUGUGACACACUCACAACGAUAAAAAAGGUGUUAGUAGCACCGAUGAUGUAAAUCGGUCAGCUGCAUCGGUCAGUAUCGAGCGCAUUAUUCAAGGUUCCGCGCAAUUCGCUCGAAAAUUAGUGCAAUGCUCCUUAGACAGCAUUUACUGUUGUAAGCAAGAUUUUGGACCACAGACCGAUUUACGUCCUAGCGCAAUUUUUCCUUUCCCUCGACCAGACAACCAAAUUAACAAAUAUAUAAGGCGGCGAAAGAAAGUGAGGGACGGGUCAGUCGAAAGCGUCUCUGGUAAAAAUUCUAUUAGAAACGGAUAAAAAAUGUAUCCUAUCCGUUUGUAACUGUUUUAUUAUGCGUUUCUUUUUCUGCAUUUACAGAUAGAAACGGAUAAAAAAUGUUGCAGAUUGUAUAGGAUAUACGCAAAAACGGAAAGAAAGACUAACUGCAUCUAACUGAUUUGUAACAGAACUAUCCGAAUCUGUGCGCUCAUAUAACUCUGUUUUUGACGUACGACUUGGACAUCGCGAUGAGUCCAUGUGACACGUAAUUGCAGUGCGUUUUCUUAUUUAACACCUGUUCCACGAACGUCCUUUCAUUCUGCUUACUAUCCUCAAGGGCACCAGCGAACUCGUCGCCGAGUCGCGAACGGUAUCUAACGGAACGAUCCAACUCUAUACGGUGAUGUAACUAUUCGUUUCUAUAUGCACUAUACAAAAAUUCAAAACGUCCAGUUAUAAAUGCUGUGAAGUGAACGAAUACAAAAACGUGCACGCGCGGAUAGAACAAAAAAAUCUUUUUAAUUGAUUGCCCAAUUUAUCUUCUUUCCUUUGCACUAGAAGGAGAAAAAUAAACUCUGAAUUAGUUUAACUAAAAAAAAAAACGUUAUACGUCUGCAUACAUACAUUCAAAUCAUUUCAUUAAAACUCGAUUAUAUACCUUAAAUAAAUUGCUAUAAGUUGACGUUGCAAACAGAGGCAGAUAGAUAUAGCAUCCGUGAUUACGGAUAGAUAUUGUCUACACUCGGUGCGUUCAGAAUGUGGACAGAAACGGACAAAAAUCGUAAUUACAAAUAAAUUUCUAUAGGUUGACGUUGCAAACACAAGUAGAUGAAUAUAGCAUCCGUAAUUACAGAUACAUACUGUCUACACUUGGUGCGUUCAGAAUGUGGACAGAAACGGAAAAAAAUCGUAUCCAAAAUUACAAAUAAAUUUCUAUAGGUUGACGUUGCAAACAUAGGUAGAUAGAUAUAGUAUCCGUAAUCUGAUGCAUACAGGAUGCAAACGGACAGAAUUUAUUUCUGCAAAAACUUAUAAAUCCUGAUAUACAGAUAAAUUACUAGUACAUACAGUUACGCUGUUGCAAUUUCUAACUGCAUUUGCGAAUGCAACAAUAUUGCUUAUAGAAACGGAUAGUAAUUGAGUCUUUUCUUUAAGCUUGCAGAUACAACGUAUAGGAUUCGGUUAAAAACUGUUAGAAAUUCUAUCUUUUUUUUACUGUUUCUAUUUGUUCCUAACAGAAAUUUUUACCAGGGAUUACCACGACAUUCUGCCUUGCGAGGUCGUGGAUCAACUAAAGUCAGGUCAAUCCGAGUUUAACACAUGACACUCUGCUUUGCGGGGUCGUAGCCUAACCGCAUUAUUGUAAACGGAGAAUAUAUUAAAAGUGUUUAUUACUCAGUGCAAAAGAUUAAAUUUCUUUUUGCAAAAUCUCUGGCAGCGAUCCCUUUAGUAUUCAAACCAGGAGUACAACAAUUCUAUGAAAAUCAAGCAUUGUCAAGCUUUUUUUCUUUAUGGUAUGAAUUUUGGAUGAAUCCAACAUCACUGUUUAUAUUUUAUCAGAAUUUACAGUCUUAAUAAUGGCGGGUCUAAUGUGGCCAGAACUAAAAAAGUAAUUAAUUUUUUUAGAACUUCCAGAUGAAAAAAA